rnacentral:ncRNA from 1 species
AAUCAUCAAGGAUCAAUUGGUUCCCUGGGAGCGAGGCGCUUUCGGGGAGUAAAUGGGAACGUGACGGAUGGACCCAUUCUGGGCAUCUCAAUCACGGCCGACCCCGCGACUGUAGAGCGGUCAGAGUUUUGUCAUGCCGGUUUUGUUCAACCGGUAAAAGCCACUGUGGCGGCGGGCCUUGCGUCCCUGCCCUGGGAAGGCGAGACAGGCUCCUUGGUGUGAAAGCACCUGACGCCGCGAGCCAGGAAACCUGCCGGUUGAUGAAGGGCAUG